rnacentral:misc_RNA from 1 species
UUUCCGUAGGUGAACCUGCGGAAGGAUCAUUAUUGGAUUUUGAAACUUCAGGCUGCUGCUGGCUCUCCUCGGAGGGCAUGUGCACGCUUGUUGUCCAUUAUUUCUCCCACUGUGCACAAAUUGUGGACCUUUCAGUAGGCCUAUGUUGUUUUUCACAAUCUCUGAAUGUAAUAGAAUGGUUUUGAAUCUUGGGAAAUACAAUACAACUUUCAGCAACGGAUCUCUUGGCUCUC